rnacentral:rRNA from 1 species
GGUUAAGUGAAUAAGCGUACACGGUGGAUGCCUUGGCAGUCAGAGGCGAUGAAGGACGUACUAACCUGCGAAAAGCUGUGGGAAGCCGGUAAGAGGCGUUAGACCCGCAGAUGUCCGAAUGGGGAAACCCAGUGAGUUUACUCACUAUCCCAACAUGAAUACAUAGUGUUGGGAGGCAAACCGGGAGAACUGAAACAUCUAAGUACCCCGAGGAAAAGAAAUCAACCGAGAUUCCGUUAGUAGCGGCGAGCGAACGCGGAGUAGCCCUUAAGCUAAAUUAGUGUUAGUGGAAUAUUCUGGAAAGGGUAGCGAUACAGGGUGAUAGCCCCGUACACGACAAUGCUUUUAUAGUGAAAACGAGUAGGACGGGACACGUGGUAUCCUGUUUGAACAUGGGGGGACCAUCCUCCAAGGCUAAAUACUCCUGACUGACCGAUAGUGAACCAGUACCGUGAGGGAAAGGCGAAAAGAACCCCUGUAAGGGGAGUGAAAUAGAACCUGAAACCGUGUACGUACAAGCAGUGGGAGCACCUUCGUGGUGUGACUGCGUACCUUUUGUAUAAUGGGUCAGCGACUUACAUUCUGUAGCGAGGUUAACCGAAUAGGGGAGCCGUAGGGAAACCGAGUCUUAACUGGGCGAAUAGUUGCAGGGUGUAGACCCGAAACCGGGCGAUCUAUCCAUGAGCAGGUUGAAGGUUGGGUAACACUAACUGGAGGACCGAACCCACAUCUGUUGAAAAAGAUGGGGAUGACUUGUGGAUCGGAGUGAAAGGCUAAUCAAGCUCGGAGAUAUCUGGUUCUCCUCGAAAGCUAUUUAGGUAGCGCCUCGAGCGAAUACCAUUGGGGGUAGAGCACUGUUUGGGCUAGGGGGUCAUCCCGACUUACCAACCCCAUGCAAACUCCGAAUACCAAUGAGUACUACUCGGGAGACACACGGCGGGUGCUAACGUCCGUCGUGAAAAGGGAAACAACCCAGACCGCCAGCUAAGGUCCCAAAGUAAUGAUUAAGUGGAAAACGAUGUGGGAAGGCAUAGACAGCUAGGAGGUUGGCUUAGAAGCAGCCACCCUUUAAAGAAAGCGUAAUAGCUCACUAGUCGAGUCGGCCUGCGCGGAAGAUGUAACGGGGCUAAAUCAUUCACCGAAGCUGCGGACUUGUGCUUGCACAAGUGGUAGAGGAGCGUUCUGUAAGCCUGUGAAGGUGACCCGGGAGGGUUGCUGGAGGUAUCAGAAGUGCGAAUGCUGACAUGAGUAACGAUAAGGGGAGUGAAAAACUUCCCCGCCGAAAGACCAAGGGUUCCUAUCCCAUGCUAAUCAGGGUAGGGUGAGUCGACCCCUAAGGCGAGGCUGAAAGGCGUAGUCGAUGGGAAACAGGUUAAUAUUCCUGUACCGACCAAUACUGCGAUGGGGGGACGGAGAAAGCUAGGCAAGCGCGGCGUUGGUAGUCCGCGUGAAAGUACGUAGGCAGAGAGAUUAGGUAAAUCCGGUUUCUUAUAUGCUGAGAUACGAGACGAGUCACUACGGUGACGAAGUUGCUAACGCUAUGCUUCCAGGAAAAGCCUCUAAGCUUCAGGUAUUGGAGAUCGUACCCUAAACCGACACAGGUGGUCAGGUAGAGCAUACCAAGGCGCUUGAGAGAACUCGGCUGAAGGAACUAGGCAAAAUAGUACCGUAACUUCGGGAGAAGGUACGCUCUUUGCUGUGAAGGACUUGCUCCGUAAGCAGCGAAGAGUCGCAGUGACCAGCUGGCUGCAACUGUUUAUUAAAAACACAGCACUCUGCAAACUCGUAAGAGGACGUAUAGGGUGUGACACCUGCCCGGUGCCGGAAGGUUAAUUGAUGGGGUUAGCGCAAGCGAAGCUCUUGAUCGAAGCCCCGGUAAACGGCGGCCGUAACUAUAACGGUCCUAAGGUAGCGAAAUUCCUUGUCGGGUAAGUUCCGACCUGCACGAAUGG